UACGAAGGGGGCCAGCGUUGCUCGGAAUCACUGGGCGUAAAGCGCACGUAGGCGGAUUGUUAAGUCAGGGGUGAAAUCCUGGAGCUCAACUCCAGAACUGCCUUUGAUACUGGCGAUCUCGAGUCCGGGAGAGGUGAGUGGAACUGCGAGUGUAGAGGUGAAAUUCGUAGAUAUUCGCAAGAACACCAGUGGCGAAGGCGGCUCACUGGCCCGGUACUGACGCUGAGGUGCGAAAGCGUGGGGAGCAAACAGG
rnacentral:rRNA from 1 species